rnacentral:misc_RNA from 1 species
CCAAGAUAUCAAUAUUUUAAGCAGUCAUAAACACAGCACAGAAUUUACCUACAAAAGUUGCGGCAAUUUAAAGUCAGCUGUAAACCUUUCGAUAAUGUAUGAAACUCACUCAUCAUUUCACAUCGCCUCAUAUAUACAGAGGAAAUGGGCGCUAAUAAAACAUUCGUAUAGUAUGAAAUCACCUCUUAAACCAUUAGCUAUACAUAUGUGCAAGUAUCAACACGAGUUCAACCAGUUGUAGAUUUUUGCAUACAAGUAUCAUUUGCUGAUGUGUUGGACCUACCAGCUUGACUAAGCAACAAGUCUUUCUUCAUCUCUUUGUAACCCCGAAGUUCUUCCAAUGCAUCAGCUGUUGUCUUUGAUGCAACAAGCCCUGAAGAUGCAAUGCUAGCAGAAGCCUGCUGCUCUUGGAGGCUGCUGCUAGACAUUUUGUCUUGCGACAAACAAACUGAAGUGGAGAAGUCUUGGCGUAGAGGUGGUGCUUUCUUUAGCAUACGUACAAGCUCACCAACAGCAGCAUCUUGUGACUUUCUAAUUGGAAACGGUUCUCCAGGCUCGAGUGGAUCACACAAAAGGCCUCUUGGAUCAAAUGAUUCAGGCCUGCUACCUGGAUCUGUCAUAUCAUCAUCCUCCACAUCAAAUGGGCAAGGGAAGUCAGGAUCAUCCAAAUCAUCCUGAAAAGACCUGCUGGAACUUCUGGAAAAUGAAAUCCGUGGAGAGCUGUUGGAUGAUAUCUUCAUCCCCGAAUACUUUCUAAUGUCAUCUUUCCCAAGAGAGAACAACUUCUCAUCUGAUGCACCAAUCUGAACAAAACCUGUGCUUGUAUCAGUCCUAGGAUAGCCAUAUCUGGUACCUUUAAGGGGAGGAGAUGGAGGCAAAUUUUGCCUGUUUGACAACACAGGGGAACUAGCAAGUUUGGCUAAAGGAAUGCUAACUGGUGCACUUUCAGACCGUAAAAGAGACUUAGAAAGAUGAUUCCCAGGAAUAUAGAUUGGUGGUGAUGGCGAUGGGGAGGGUGUAAAGUUAGGGGAAGGAUAAUACUCAUCAAAGCUGGUAUUCUUCUUAUGAACUGAAGAUGUUUCAGGUGGAUGAGGAGGCAAGCUCAUAGGUGGCAAGCGACGGGAACUUGGAUUAGAAAUCGAUGCAUGUGAUUCUGAAUGAGUAGGAGAUGGUGAGAAAGAAAAUGAAGGUGAAGAAGCUUUGUAGAUGUCAUAACUCCAACUAUGUCGUCUUGAGAAUGGCAAGGAUGAUGGAGAACCAUGUGGCACAGGAAGAGAGGGGAACCUUUUCAGUGGGUCCGCCAAUGGGCUCCCAACAUAAUCAGGGAUAAAUUGGGGAGACAUUGGGGUUGAUGAUUCCAAGCUUAUAUCAGAGAGUGAUGAACGAUAAACCACUGAAAGGCAAAGCCGACCACAGGAAGUAUCCACCGGAGUGAACCCAAAUAGCAGCAUUUCAGCCUCUUCCCUGCGAGUGAAGGGCUCAAAAAAAGAAGAAACCCUAUGAGUAAGGGUGAAUGUGCGAAUCUGUCCAGACGAAUUGAGGUCACGGAAAAUCUUAUAUGCAGGUAGAAGCCUAACAGUUGCAUACAAAGACCUCAAAAGUAAUACUGAUUUCUUAUACAUCAUAUGCAAAGUAUUGCUUGAUCUUCUGCUGCCCGAACAGUUAUCCCUUAACCUCCUACUCUCAUAUUGCACUAUCCACCUCUCUAUAAUUUUUUCAGUCUUAGCCUCACAUCCUAAUUCUUCCUGAUCAGAAUUCCAACUAAAAGGACACCGCUCCUUUGAGGAAAUAUUCCUACCAAAAUCCUUUUUUGGGGAACAAUUUACAGGGUCCCAAACAAGUGGUCUCUGCACCAAAAUCACAUCAAUAACCAUUGGUUCUAGAUUGCUCUGGCGCCAGAUAUCAGGAUUCUCAAGAGCAGCUGGGCAUUCCUUAAGUGCCAAAUUGAACCAUUUAUCUCUUGGCCUUACACCAGAAGAGGAGGACGAAGAGGAAGAUGGAGACCAUAUAGCUUGCUCACCACUGUAAUUACGAGAUGACAUAUAAGGAGACCUCGACUCCAGUAUUAUGUGGAGACUUUUAGCAAAAAAUUCAGUGAUAAUUUGUUCCAUUUUGGCACCUUCAGUGUGACUAUUACUAUGAGAUGAUGCCAUAUUAGAAAAUGAACUACAAAAGCACAAACCCUGCGAAAGAAAUUGAAAUUAGACCCUUAUAACCCGACUUGAUAGCAUUUCACUGCAAGCAAACAGGAGAUGCAUAUUCAAAGGCUCAAUCCAAAGCUGAUCAUAAUGACGAUAAUACAAGACCCAGAACCAAUAAUUUUAACAGAAAACAAACUGAGCAGCACGAAAAUAAAACGAUCACAACUAAUUGAAUUGCUAACAAGGAAAACAUGAAAAACACAUGAGAAUUAAGCUGACCAACAGAGAAUAAGAAAACUUGCAUUGAUGUCCUGCAAAAGUUCAAAAAGAAAAAAGAAAAUCAAAACAAAAAAACCAGCAUAGACUUAUUGUUCACUUGCUAUUGCCUGCAAGAACCUGGCGGUAUAAAAAGGAUACUUUUUUUUCUGGGUCUAUUCUUUGUUUUCUGGGUACCACUUUAUUUCCAAUUAUAGUCAAAAUUUGAAUU